UCCCUUUAGGACAUGGAGCAGGUGGCUCUGUUCUCCCAGGCUCACUCACUCACUCAGCACGUGUGCUGAGCUCCCCGUGCGCCUGGCCCCAGCGGGGCCCGGGGUGAUGGUGGCAGUGAGCCCCAGCCGGACUCCGGACCUGCCUGGUCGGUGCUUGUUUUCUAGUGAUGAGGAGAAACGAGCGAGCAUCGGUGGGAUCAUCUCAGGAACACACGUCAAUGGGAGGAGUCACAGCACAGGCCGCGGACCCACCGGGCAUCAGACCUACGCAGGGAGGGCGACUUGAGGAGACAGUGCUCACACCUCCACGCUGCAGGUGAGGACAUGACCCCGCGAGGCCUCCACAGGCACAGAGAGCUGGGCUGGGGUGUGGACACACGUCUGUCCCAUGGAAGGCCCGCCUCCUCGCCGCCAUGCCAGGUGUAUCCAUCCUUUCCAUCCAGACGUGUCUCGGAGGAAUUCUGGAGGGAAGAACAUCGGGUGCCAUUGGGCGGGGCAGACAGACGCAGGCCUUCUAUCCCUCUUCUGGAAACUUCCACCUCAGCUCUGCACUUAGUUCCCGGACCGCAGUGACUGGCUCCCCGCCUCUCCCCACGCCUCCCGAGGCCUUGCUCUCUGCCUCGUUCCCACCCAGGGCCGUUUCCUGCCAAGGUCGUAUGCGUUGUCUGAGUGGCAGGAGCUUCUACGGAGCCUGCACGUCGCUGGCAGCCAGAUCCUCUUCAUUUCAUAAUUGCCCGUUCUAAAUGGAUUCAUCUAGGACGAGCCCUAACCGCUGGAAACAGAACUCUUUAUUUGUCCUCUCUCAUAAAGAAGCCGCUCGAUUAAUUAUGCCAACUUGCAUUUUAUUAAGUGUGGCAUUCAUUUUGAUUUAAGAAUAUUUUUACCUCUUCAAGUGCUUUUAAGAAAGGUUAUGGCCAAAAAAAAAAAAAAAAAAAGGUCUAUUCAUCUCUGCAGUAUAUUUGGUUGCUUUUCAUAAAUUGUCUAGAUUGCAUUUUAAGGGAGUGGAAAUUGAAUCUAGUCUUUUUUCUUUAAAUUGCUGAAGCCAAUUAGCAGCUAAUGUGUUCAGGAGGAGAGAAGCACUCAGAUCUAUAAUUGAGCAGAGCCUUCCGAACGCUGCAUUUCAGCUCAGUCCUGCCCGCUCUUUCCGUCUUCCCCCCAUCGCAUUUCCCAAAGAACAGCUUCCCUUACCAGCCCCCCGUUGAGACCUGGGCCACUGGGAGGAGAGUGGGGGCGUCAGAGCUGCUGCGCCCCAGGAUGCCAGGGAGGGAUCAGUCCCUGGGGAUUGGCUCCCAUUCCUCCAG